AGAGAGGAGGAUACAGAGCUGAGAGAUGGAUCGGCCUUCCCCGUGGAGCACUCUGAGACAUGUCAUAGCUCAUUGACAUCUCGCAAUACAGGUCAAAAAGGUACAUCCCAGCCUUCUUGCACAUAGAAACACUACACAGCACUUCAGCUGUAUGUUUGGGGGCCAUUUUAAACAGCAAAAUCAUCAACAGGAAGCAGAAAAUUGUAAAAAUUGUGGCACUAAAUAGACCAUGUAAAGGACACAUGUUUGCAAUAAGAAAGCUGAAACAAGAAGGGGGAGUGUCACCUUAUUUGAUCCAGCUAGAAACUCAGGUGCUGGUAUUCCAGCAACACUCAGGCGGCUGCUCCAGGAGGCUGCAGAGGGGUCCUUUUUAGCCGUCAACAAAACUGGCUAUGGUCACGCCCAUUGGGAAACUCAUUGCUGCCUUCAAGGACUCAGAAGCUGUAGGAAUAUUCAGGCACAGACACCAGACCCAGCUUCAUCUCUAACUUGUGGCAAAGGACAGUACAUCCUGGGAUGGGACCCUAUGCUCCCCUAUGCCAUUUAGACAGAGCCUGGGGAGAGUGACUUCCCAGGGUAUCCAUGUUGGAAUCUCUCAUUUGAUUCUUAUUCAAAUUUAGGUUCUGUCAAUAGAAGAUACUAAAGAAAGAAAGCCAGGAGAAGAAAAGGGACUUCUUUCUUCAAGGUCUAAGCUGUUCUAAUAGCAUUAUUCUGGGAAUGGCAUCUUCCACUCCUCCUAGUACAAAGAACCUGCUUCCUCAUACCCCGUCAAGGAACUGCAGCAUCCAGAAUACAUUCAUACCUAACACCUCAAUAGAUGACAUGUUAUCCAUGGAAUCGAGUUCAAAGCCCUCUGUAACGUGGCUAUAUCCCAUCUACUCUGAGCUGAUGUUCAGCAGGUGAUGGCCACAGUGGCAGAACCUAGGAAGCCAAGAAGAAACCAGAGAAUGGAGACACAUGGCAGCAAUGGCAAGUCAUCAGACCCAGGAUUUCCCAAAGAACACUGGUCCAGGAAGAUGCUCUGUGAAAAAGUGUUCCCUGGUCGGAGAAAUUUGUGAAACACUUUGCAUAAUACUUAAAAGAAUGUAUGGCACAUCAAAGGUAAUAUGCAAUAAAAGAAUUCAUUUUUUUAAAA
ensembl:lncRNA LINC01905 long intergenic non-protein coding RNA 1905